ACAUAGGUCCCCAGAGAAUUUCAAUAUGUCUGAUGUCAAGAACGGAAAGUGAGACAGCCAGGUGGGAGGGGGUCCCUGGAGAAUCUCCAACCAGCAUGCGCACUGGGAACGCGCACUGGAGUGAAAAUACAGAAGUUGGUGCCCUUUGCAGCAGCCAGGAGUCCGACUCCUCCUCUUCCUGUGUGGAACCUGGAAUUCAAACGGCUGGGGCCUCACUCACGGCAUAUGGAACUAACCACGCCCCUAACUAAGAAGGCACACCUUAGUUGCAGUUAGCACACAAUUAAAGCAACUCUCCAAGUUUUACCUUAAAGUUCAAAAUUGCUAGGAGUUGAAACUACUAGAAAUAUAUUUACAUGCAAGAGUCAAAGAAACUUUGAACUAUUUAUGGCCUUUAAUAAUUAAGUAAGGUAUACUCCUGUGAUCAAGACUUGGAGCAUAUUUGUUUCUCUCUGCCUGGUUCCUCUAGAAAUUGGAAACGAUCAGAACACAGACCAACUCCGUUUCCCGAUCCCUUUGCAAUCUGCAUUGAACCAUGAGUCAAGUUCUUGAUAAAGGAGUGAAAAUGGAUGACAUUUAAGGCACAUCUGAAGAUGGGGAAACCACAGUACAGAAUAAGGCUGGGCCCUUGAAUCAAUAAAUGAAGGAGAACUACUCAAGAGAACAAAACCACCAGCAAUAUCCACCUGUAUUUGUCUUUUCAUAAUGUGUGACACAUGUGCUCAUGGAUUAUUGUCCGAAGCAAGUCAUGUGACCAAGCUUAACAUCAACUGGGUGAAGAGCUAUAUGUUCCUUUCUCAAGAGGCACUACAAGUGACAUGCCAACGGGCAGAUGGAGUCUCACUCUGUCACCCAGGCUAGAGUGCAGUGCCGUGAUCUCGGCUCACUGCAAGCUCUGACUCCCAGGUUCAUGCCAUUCUCCUGCCUCAGCCUCCCAAGUAGCUGGGACUACAGGCGCCCACCACCACGCCUGGCUAAUUUUUUAUAUUUUUAGUAGAGAAGGGGUUUCGCCGUGUUAGCCAGGAUGGUCUUGAUCUCCUGACCUCAUGAUCUGCCCACCUCGGCCUCCCAAAGUGCUAGGAUUACAGGCGUGAGCCACCACGACUGGCCUAACAUAUUUUUAAAACCUGUAGAAUGUUUGUAUUACUUUUGUCAUAGUACAUAACAUUUAAAUGGAUUUCUUGUUUGUGUAUGUGUGUAUAUUCAUUCACAACACUGAUAGUUUUUCUGAAUAUUUCCUUUGGAUUUUAUUCUUUUCUCAUUCAACUAAAUAAGAACCUGCACCAUCUUUUUCUAGUGUAAAAAUUACAAUAUCUGAAGUGAAACUACUAGAAUAAAU
rnacentral:lncRNA from 1 species